UAAACUGGGCAGAAUGUAUAUAGAUUCGUAUUAUGAAGAGUUGUUUUUCAAAAAUUUGACGAAUUUAAAUUCACUUAUGGACAAAAUUUUUAAUGCCAUCGGAUAGGAUACCAAGCAUAUGAGUAAAGAGUUUCCUAUUAGAAUGGUCAACGGAUUUGAUAGAAGCGAUAAAACGACCUACUGUGCGUAAAGAACGUUCUUCAGAUGAAGACGUUAUUGGUAUAAAAUUUGGACUAAACUAAUUUAUAUUUGAUUCUUGAAUCGGGGCUUUUUAUUUGCAAUGUAGCUUGUCUGCAUAAUUGUAAUUGAAAGUUUUUAUUUGUAAUUGUAUAUUGAGUUCUUGUGGCUAUCAUGUCUGUCAAAUUUGUAUUAACUUACAAAUAAAGAUGUUUUUUGUUGUCUUAUUUUUAAUAAACAAUAUAUGAAAUUACAAUUUUUUAAAGAAUGAAGUUAUUGAUAAAUUGUUACAAUUAAAUUAACAACUUUACCAUUAUGUCAAA